rnacentral:tRNA from 2 species
GGGCCCGUCGUCUAGCUUGGACUAGGAUGCGGGGUACGCCUCCCCGUGGCCCCGGGUUCAAAUCCCGGCGGGCCCACCA